CGCGUAGGCGGUUCGCUAAGUUGAAUGUGAAAACUCUGGGCUUAACCCAGAGCCUGCAUUCAAUACUGGCGGGCUAGAGUUCUGGAGGGGAUAGCGGAAUUCCUGGUGUAGCGGUGAAAUGCGUAGAUAUCAGGAGGAACACCGGUGGCGAAGGCGGCUAUCUGGACAGAGUCUGACGCUGAGGCGCGAAAGCUAGGGGAGCAAACA
rnacentral:rRNA from 1 species